GACGAACGCUGGCGGCGUGCUUAACACAUGCAAGUCGAACGGAAAGGCCCUGCUUUUGUGGGGUGCUCGAGUGGCGAACGGGUGAGUAACACGUGAGUAACCUGCCCUUGACUUUGGGAUAACUUCAGGAAACUGGGGCUAAUACCGGAUAGGAGCUCCUGCUGCAUGGUGGGGGUUGGAAAGUUUCGGCGGUUGGGGAUGGACUCGCGGCUUAUCAGCUUGUUGGUGGGGUAGUGGCUUACCAAGGCUUUGACGGGUAGCCGGCCUGAGAGGGUGACCGGCUACAUUGGGACUGAGAUACGGCCCAGACUCCUACGGGAGGCAGCAGUGGGGAAUAGUGCACAAUGGGCUGAAGCCUGAUGCAGCAACGCCGCGUGCGGGAUGACGGCCUUCGGGUUGUAAACCGCUUUCGCCUGUGACGAAGCGUGAGUGACGGUAAUGGGUAAAGAAGCACCGGCUAACUACGUG
rnacentral:rRNA from 1 species